rnacentral:lncRNA from 1 species
AUCAAUCUAGUCUCUCUCGCAAAAUCGGUUAAUAUGUUUACGUUUGCACAUUUAGCAAUAAACCUAAAAUAUACUGAUUCUGUUUGACAUAUAACGUGUAACUUUAGACAGCUAAAGUAAGUAAAGUAACGUAUAACGUUAGGCGGACUUUACAGUUUACAAAAGGAAAACGCGGAUGAAGUGUCGUUAAAAAGCGGAAAGAAAGCGAGUUUCACCUUUUGAAUGGACAAUAACGAGUAAUUUGCCUUAUUAACGUUAACUCUUAUGUGAAACAAUUUGAGUUAUCAACAUGUUACACACAAAUAUUGCUUUGUUGUCAAAGGCAUGGUUUGGUUACGGUGUAUGGAUGAAAAGUGUCCAUGAAGGCCUAAACGGGUUCAGAGGAGAGAUGACUGGAAGUCCCGAAGCCUAUCUGCUAACGUUACCUGUCUAAAACCAAGGAAGCAGGCAAUCAAUCAUCAUGAUCCUAAAGUAUGAAGCUUUAUUGAGGAAGACGUUGCGAGGGGAGAAGAAAAGAUGACACACAUUCACAGUCGUGUCCUCUUUGGAGCGCUUGUCAUUUCGGCAGCGGAGCGGUGACAGUGGUUUCUAGAACAGAGCGUUUCGCCAGUUCACACUGAAGUAAGUCUAAUGCAAGCGUGACACUGGCCGUCAAUCUGUGUGCCGGUCUGUCUCUCACAGUGUGAAAUUACAAUCAUCAUAUUCCACUGCUGAAUAGAAUCAUGCAGUCAUACCAGCCAUUUCUAAGAUCUACACAAUCAUUACUGCAACAUCUCUGGCACUAUGUAACUUGUGAGUGUCAGGGAAAGAAGAAGAAAAAAACACAGAAACAUUUUAUUUCACUAUUUGUGCUAUUGCAUCAUGCUUUUUGGGAAGGUCUUCUGUAAACACAACUACAUCUUCCAGAGAGAGUCUUUUCAGAGAGAUGUUUUUGAAAUGAACACAAAGAUUAUUGGACUCUUUUACAAGAACGUACUGGUUCAGUGCUGCUACUUAAUUUCAUGUGUCAUUGUAAUUUCAAAAAUAAAGUUGAAUGCUUAGUGUUUACAAG